GUGUGGAAGGUCUGGGGCUCCUCCCAGCGCUCCUUCCUCUCCGGCUUUCUUGGUUGACCACAGAUGCCUCGUGGGGAGGUCCUCAGCUCUCCUGCCCGGCUCAUCUCCAGAAGGCAGCGCCUGGCUCUGUCCCAGGGCAGGAGCCUCAUGCCCUCCUGCGGUUCUGGCCCACCGCCAGCCCCAGAUUUAGGCACUUCCUGCCAAAACCCUCAAAACAGAGCCUUGGGGAGGAGGCGGCGGGUGGUCGUGGACCAGGAAUCCGGGCAUCUGGGAAUCUUGUCUGAGGUGCCAGCCCUCGGGCAUGGCUUCACUUUUCCUCCGACGUCCAGCAGGCCCCUCCCUGUCACUGUGCAGUCGCCCCUCCCCGUUCCCGCAGGCCCCUCCCUGCCUCGGUGCAGUCCACCCCUCCCGGUCCCAGCAGGCCUUGGCAGCAGCCAGAGCCUCUCCUCUCUGGGAGGGCUCAGCUCUCUUGGGACCUGAUUCCUUGGAGUUUCUCUAUGUCCUUGCCUCUGGUGGGUUAUUAAACUAUUGUGCCUUCGUGGAUGCUUUUGGGUUUAUCUGGUUCAUUUUUAUUGAUGUGAUGAGAGCAAUGGUCUCUGGUGACUUUCUGUGUUUGAAUCAGAAUGGAAAGUCCAUUGUUUCACACACAUGUGUGCACAGACACACACACUUACACACACUGGAAAUUGUAUUACAGAGGAGAAAAGGAACACACACAUCUCUUAGGAAGCCACACCUCUCAAAAUUGAGAUAUUUCGUGAACACAGCAGGUUGCCAAUCAGCCACAUACCCAGAAUCUAGAUGAGAAGGGCCCCUUUGGAGGUGAUUAUCUGGGGUGGGAGCUGCUUCUCACUGUUCAGUUACCUUGACUAUUCUGACCAGCCUAGUGACCCAGCUCAUUAAAGAGAAAUUGAUUUUAAAAAUCAAUUUAUGUAUAAUGAGUAUUAUAAAACACUGCUCCAGGAAUUCAGAGAUGACACAAACAAGUGGAAAAACAUUCCAUGUUUAUGAAUGGGAAGAAUCAAUAUUCUUAAAAUGGCCAUACCACCCAAAGCAAUUUAUAGAUUCAAUGCUAGCCCUAUAAAACUAUUACUGACAUUCUUCACAGAACUUGAAAAAGCGAUUUUAAAAUUCAAAUGGAACCAAAAAAGAGCCUGAAAAGCCAAAGUAACACUAAGUAAUAAGAAUAAAGCUGGAGGCAUCACGCUACGUGACUUCAAACUAUACUACAGGGCUACAGUAACCAAAACAGCAUGGUACUGGUACAAAAACAGGCAUGUAGACCAAUGGCACACAACAGAGAGCCAAGAAAUAAGGCCACACACCUAUGACCAUCUGAACUUCGACAAAGAUAAGAAAAAGAAGCAAUAGGAAAAAACUCCUAUUCAAUAAAUGGUAUUGGGACAACUGGGUAGCCAUAUGCAUAUGCAGAAGAUUGAAACUAGACCCCUUCCUCACACGAUACAUAAAAAUCAACUCAAGAUGGAUUAAGGACUUAAAUAUAAAAGCCAAAACUAUAAAACACCUGGGAUACAACCACAGUAAAACCAUCCAGGACAUAGGAACAGGCAAAUAUUUCAUGAUGAAGACACCAACGAAGACAUGUUGCUUUUUUUUUUUUUUUUUUUUUUUUGCAACAAAAGCAAAAAUUGACAAGAGGAACCUAAUUAAACUAAACAGCUUCCGCACAGCAAAAGAAACUAUCAACAGAGUAAACAGACAACCUACAGAAUGGGAGAAAAUAUUUGUAAACUAUGCCCCUGACAAAUGUCUAAUACUCAAUAUCUAUAAAGAACUUAAACAAAUUCCUAAGAGUAAAACAACCCCAUUACCAAGUGAGCAAAGGACGUGAAUAAACACUUCAAAAGAAGACAUACGUACAGCCAACAAGCAUAUGAAAAACAAGCUCAACACAACUGUGAAGCCCAAGAAAUGAGCGCAACAGAGUGCAGGGCAUGAGGCCCAUUUACAAAGUCACUGCAGUGCUGUUGGCAACAGCAAAGACAUGGAAUCAACAUCAGUGCCCAUCAGUGACAGAUUGGAUAAAGAAAACCUGGUGCACAUACACCAUGGAAUACUCUGCAGCCCCAAAAAAGAACUAGAUCAUGUCACUGACAGGGAAAUGGACAGAGCGAGAGGCCAUCUAUGACCAUCAUCCCUACAAACUAACGCAGGAACAGAAAACCAAAUGCCGCACUUUCUCACUUCUAAGUGUGAACGAAACGAUGAGAACACACGGACACGUAGAGGGGAACAGCACACACUGGGGUCUACCUGAGGGUGGGGGUGGGAGGAAGGAGAGGAGCAGGCAGAAUAACUAUUGGGUACUUGACUGAGUACUUGGGUCAUGAGAUAAUCUGUACAACAAACCCGGUCACACGAGUUUACUUAUGUAAUAAACCUGGACAUGUACCCCGACCCUAAAAUAAAAGUUAAAAAAAUUAUUAAAAAAUAAUUAAACUUAUUUCUAAAAUGUCCGUGUGUGCAUUAAAGUGUUGUUUAGAUGCGAAUAAAUCCAGCUUUGGUAAACUGGAAGAUACUCAUGCCCGCAUGACCCAGACGGCAAGAGAGAGAGAAGGAGACAGAAUCUGUUGUGGGGAGGAUGAGGUGUGACGGUGGACGUGGGUUCACUGAGAGUUCCAGGAGACAACGGGGACACUGGAGAGCAGGGGAAGGAAGAAUGGGCCUCUCAGGCUCACGACUAGAUGACAGACACCCCAACUCAACAUGGACAAAAUCGGCCAGGCACGGGGGCUCACACCUGCAAUCCCUGUUGAGGUGAGACGAUCUUGUGAGCCCAGGAGGCUGAGGUUGCAGGGAGCCAACACCUGCCAUUGCACUCCAGCCUGGGUGACAGAGGAAGACCCUGUCUCAAAAAACCAAAAUGAAAUGGUCAAAGUGUUUGAAUAGACAUUGUCCUAAAGAGAAUAUGUGCGUGGGCACCGCCACAUGAAAAGACACUCGACAUCCCUGGUCGUUACCAAACUGAAAAUUUAAACAAGGCCUCCGAGUCUCCCCGCUACAACUGCUGCGACCCUGAAGGACGAUGAUGACAAACGCUGGCAGAGACGUGGAGAAACAGGGAACCGCGAACCCUCAGGCAUCGCUGGUGAGUCAGGCUCCAUCCGACCUGAAGAACGGUGCUGCGCUUUCUUCAAAAGUUAAAUGUAAAUUUACCAUGCGGCCCAUCGUUUCACUCCUGGCAUCUACCCAGGAGAAGUGAGAGCCUACGACCCCACAGGGAUCUGGACACCCGCGUCCACAGCAGCAGAUUCACAGAGGCCAGACAGUGGAGCGGUCGCCAGUGUCCGCUGCUGACCAAUGUACACGUGAGGUCGGUGCAUACAAGGGCACGAUGUCAGCAAAGAAGGAAUAAAACAUAAUGUUGGGCCGGGCGCGGUGGCGCAAGCCUGUAAUCCCAGCACUUUGGGAGGCCGAGGCGGGUGGAUCACGAGGUCAAGAGAUCGAGACCAUCCUGGUCAACAUGGUGAAACCCCGUCUCUACUAAAAAUACAAAAAAUUAGCUGGGCAUGGUGGCGCAUGCCUGUAAUCCCAGCUACUCGGGAGGCUGAGGCAGGAGAAUUGCCUGAACCCAGGAGGCGGAGGUUGUGGUGAGCCAAGAUCGGGCCAUUGCACUCCAGCCUGGGUAACAAGAGCGAAACUCCGUCUCAAAAAAAAGACACCGCAUAAUGUCACAACACGGAUGGACCGCAAACAAGUUAUCCCCAGUGGAAGAAGCCUGGCACAGAAGAUCCAUCUCACGCGAUUCCCCCAACAGACCGCCUUCGAGAAGGCAAACCAGAGAAACUGAAUUUCCUUUUCUGUAAUGACCAGGGAUGUUGAGAUCUUUUCACAGAGCAGUACCCGCUAAUUCACCCUCCCUGGAAAAAGAUUCCAAUGUUCUGUGCGCUUCACAUCGGGGUGUUGUCGUCUGACUGUUGAGUUUGGAAGGCCUGUUCUCCCUUCGCCUGCUCACCGGAGUCGCUGUCGUUUCAUCCUGGAAGUGUCAUUGGAGCUAAACCAACGUCCCGGCAAUUCUCCCACCCUGGAUCCCAUCUCCUCUCUCUGCUGCCUGCGGGGUCCUGUCCACAUAUCCUCCUGUUUACACGUCCGCAUUCAUUUCUACGUGUGCGUGUGUUCGCUUCUAAACAGCACAUUUAAAAGCAGACAUUUUAAACAUCAAUUUCUUUAAUGAGCUAUGUCAUUAGGCGAGUGAGAAUAGUC
rnacentral:lncRNA from 1 species